rnacentral:rRNA from 1 species
GGCGACUCGCCGAAUGAGUUCUGACCUAUCAACUCGAGACGGCGGGGUAGAGGCCCGCCGCGGUAACGACGGGUAACGGGGAAGUCAGGGUUCGAUUCCGGAGAGGGAGCCCGAGAAACGGCUACCACUUCCAAGGAAGGCAGCAGGCGCGCAACUUACCCUAAUCUCGAUUCGAGGAGGUAGUGACAAGAAAUACCGAUGCGGGACCCUACGGGUGCCGCGUUCGGAAUGAGUACGAUUCGAACCACCUAACGAGGAACGAUCGGAGGGCAAGUCUGGUGCCAGCAGCCGCGGUAAUUCCAGCUCCAAUAGCGUACGUUAAAGUUGCUGCAGUUAAAAGCUCGUAGUUGAACGUUCGGGUUCCGCGGGACGGGGCCGCCCCGCGAGGGACGGCGCCGCCCCGGGGCUCGUGAUAUCUUAUCUCGCCGCCCGUCGCGAGGCGGACGGAGGGAUGGAUGAGGUUACCUGGG